rnacentral:rRNA from 1 species
GAUGAACGCUGGCGGCGUGCUUAAGACAUGCAAGUCGAACGAAGAGCUUGUAGCAAUACGGGCUCUGAGUGGCGAAUGGGUGCGUAACACGUAGGUGACCUGCCCUGAAGUGGGGAAUAACAGUCCGAAAGGACUGCUAAUACCCCAUGUGGUCCUGGAGGUUAGAGGCUCCAGGUCUAAAGCAGCAAUGCGCUUCAGGAGGGGCCUGCGGCCCAUCAGCUAGUUGGCAGGGUAACGGCCUACCAAGGCAACGACGGGUA